UGGGCCCCAGGCGCCAUGGAGCUCACGUGAAGGUGCCGCGGCAUCGAUGGUCCGUUCGUUGGGACCACCGCCAGUGCUGCGGUCUCCAUGAUUGCCGCUGAUGGCAGAGGAAUUGCAGGUUGAUUAGGCAGCAUCUGGGAGUUUGGGCUUUCCGCAAGCUGGGCAUCGUCUUGGCUGUCCGGGCGAGGGGAGCAAGGUAGCGGAAGGGGAUGAACGGUUUCGGAGCGUGCUGGGCCAUAGCACAGAAUAGCAAAAUGAGCUGAGGGGAAUUGAUCAUACCUUUGUUGCAGGAGGCCAUUGUAGUUGUGCGGGUGAAAGGCACGCUCAGCGAGACCAUUGACAUGGGGUGGGGGAAAG
rnacentral:lncRNA from 1 species